GACAGAGGGGGCAAGCGUUGCUCGGAAUCACUGGGCGUAAAGGGCGCGUAGGCGGGAUGGCAAGUCAGUCGUGAAAUCUCUCGGCUCAACCGAGAAACGUCGGCUGAUACUGCCGUUCUUGAGGGGUGCAGAGGAGACUGGAAUUCCCGGUGUAGCGGUGAAAUGUGUAGAGAUCGGGAGGAACACCGGUGGCGAAGGCGGGUCUCUGGGCAUCUCCUGACGCUGAGGCGCGAAAGCGUGGGGAGCAAACGGG
rnacentral:rRNA from 1 species